rnacentral:rRNA from 1 species
GGAUGAACGCUGGCGGCGUGCCUAAUACAUGCAAGUCGAACGAAACUUCUUUAUCACCGAGUGCUUGCACUCACCGAUAAAGAGUUGAGUGGCGAACGGGUGAGUAACACGUGGGCAACCUGCCCAAAAGAGGGGGAUAACACUUGGAAACAGGUGCUAAUACCGCAUAACCAUAGUUACCGCAUGGUAACUAUGUAAAAGGUGGCUAUACUACCGCUUUUGGAUGGGCCCGCGGCGCAUUAGCUAGUUGGUAGGGUAAAGGCUUACCAAGGCAAUGAUGCGUAGCCGAAUUGAGAGGUUGAUCGGCCACAUUGGGACUGAGACACGGCCCAAACUCCUACGGGAGGCAGCAGUAGGGAAUCUGCCACAAUGGGCGAAAGCCUGAUGGAGCAACGCCGCGUGGGUGAAGAAGGUCUUCGGAUCGUAAAACCCUGUUGUUAGAGAAGAAAGUGCGUGAGAGUAACUGUUCACGUUUCGACGGUAUCUAACCAGAAAGCCACGGCUAACUACGU